ensembl:lncRNA
GCACACACUCAAACACACAAACAGCGCGCGCGGGCUGCCAAAGUCGGAUGAAUUCUAAAGGAACCCAUAUUAGGCUAACAAAAAGGAGAGAUGAAAUGGAUUGCAAGCAUCUUCUCAGAAACAGCUCGGGGAGCCCAGCGUAUAGCCUCCACGGUCGGAUGCCUCAGUGGGGCCAGAAAGUCCGUGACCACGACUCCACGCGCCCCAGCACUGCCUGCUGUUGGACAUUGCACGUGGAGGAGGUUGAGGCGGCCCUCCAGGCUAAACCGCCAAGGGAAGGAAGAGGACGGUGCCAACGGCACUCAGCUUGAACACUCGGUCGAGCCAGCCCAGUUAACGAGACCGUUAAUUAAGCAGCGCAGGAUUCAACUGACAGGAAGGCCCUGCCCCCCGCAGAGAUGUUCUGGAAACCAAGCCGUCCACAGAGGAGAGCGAGGGGACACACCGGCUUUGUCACCCCUGCUUUCCAGGGUUCAGCCUAUUCCCUGCCCUCUUGGGGACGCCCAGACCCCAACACUCUCCCAGCCUGGACUUGGGGCUGCCCCCAGCUGGCCGCCCCCAUGGGGACCCUAGAAAGCUCAACCCCGGCCACCUCACUCCCAUCCUCCCACCAUCCCUUCUGUAUCCCUGCCCGGAUGCCGAGGCCUAAGCAUCCGGGCAGGGUGCCUGACCCACUCCAAGCACCCGGUGGACGUC